rnacentral:rRNA from 1 species
GAUGAACGCUAGCGGGAGGCCUAACACAUGCAAGCCGAGCGGUAUUUGUUCUUCGGAACAGGGAGAGCGGCGCACGGGUGCGGAACACGUGUGCAACCUGCCUUUAUCUGGGGGAUAGCCUUUCGAAAGGAAGAUUAAUACCCCAUAAUAUAUUGAGUGGCAUCAUUUGAUAUUGAAAACUCCGGUGGAUAGAGAUGGGCACGCGCAAGAUUAGAUAGUUGGUGAGGUAACGGCUCACCAAGUCAAUGAUCUUUAGGGGGCCUGAGAGGGUGAUCCCCCACACUGGUACUGAGACACGGACCAGACUCCUACGGGAGGCAGCAGUGAGGAAUAUUGGACAAUGGGUUAGCGCCUGAUCCAGCCAUCCCGCGUGAAGGACGACGGCCCUAUGGGUUGUAAACUUCUUUUGUAUAGGGAUAAACCUACUCUCGUGAGAGUAGCUGAAGGUACUAUACGAAUAAGCACCGGCUAACUCCGUG